UCUCGCCGCGAGGGUGGGCCGGCGCCUGCAUCACCGUGACAUCACCUCCAUUCAGGGGCUUAUCGGGCGCCCGCGGCGCUCCAGGUCCUGGGCAGCCCAGGAGGAAUGGAUAGAACUUGUUCCCAGCACAUGAAGAGUUUCCGGUGAGCUGCUGUCACUUACUAGCCAAAUGACUGCGGAGCCUGAGGGACAGGAGAAACCAGAGAAUUGGAGGGCAGUAUAUUCAGACCUGACAAUCACAGAAGACCACACAGAUUCCCACUUCACCUUAGUUCUUUGACCUUGAUGAAAAACAUAUUUCCAAUGGAUAAGUAAUAUCUUGCAGGUGAAGUCAGAAGUGUUGUGAUCAUUUUGCUGUCAAAGAGUGAACAGACUUGGCCUUGCAGCCUAGAGGGGAGCAUUCAGCAGUCUGAAUCUUUUUGUAACCACUUACCAACUCAGUGAGUAAAAGAAAGCAAAUUUGCAUUCUUUGUGUUCCUCAGGUAAAAUACAAUCUGUUCUCCCAGGAAGCAGGUGAAUGUCCGGUUUUGAGUUUUUCUAUAAAAUUCACAUUUCUCCCACCCUUAGAAUCCCCUCAAAGUCUGAUCUGAGUGUCAAAGUCCUACCUAGAACAAAGAGAGUUGGGGUAGCACAAGUCUAUACCUGGUGGUAUAAUAAGAAAUAUAUUUGGUC